UACGGAGGGGACUAGCGUUGUUCGGAAUUACUGGGCGUAAAGGGCGCGUAGGCGGCCCUCUAAGUCGAACGUGAAAUCCCCGAGCUCAACUCGGGAACUGCGUCCGAUACUGGUGGGCUUGAAUCCGGGAGAGGGAUGCGGAAUUCCAGGUGUAGCGGUGAAAUGCGUAGAUAUCUGGAGGAACACCGGUGGCGAAGGCGGCAUCCUGGACCGGCAUUGACGCUGAGGCGCGAAAGCUAGGGGAGCAAACGGG
rnacentral:rRNA from 1 species